rnacentral:pre_miRNA from 1 species
GGCGUUCGAUGAAAUGUCCGCUACCCAUAUAUAUAUAUAUAUAUAUAUAUAUAUAUAUAUAUAUAUGGGUAGCGGACAUUUCAUCGAACGCC